rnacentral:rRNA from 1 species
AUGAAAAGCCACAAGCUUGGGGAUGCUAUGUUUGAUGAAGAUGAUAUGUUUAGUCCCCCAAGUUUUGAUGAGCAAAUUUAUUAUGAUGAAAGCAUGCCUCCUAUUUAUGAUGAUUAUUGUGAUGACACGUAUGCUAUAAAGAAUAAAGAUAACCAUGAAACUUGUCAUCAUGAUUUUAAUUUUCAAUUGGAUUAUGCUUCACAUGAUAGUUAUUUUGUUGAGUUUGCUCCCACUACUAUUGAUGAGAAUAAAUUUGCUUAUGUGGAGAGUAGUAAAAUUUCUUUGCAAGUAGAUCAUGAAAAGAGUGCUUUAUGUGCUGGUUAUAUGGUUGAAUUCAUUCAUGAUGCUACUGAAAAUUAUUAUGAGAGAGGAUCAUAUGCUUCUACAUAUUGCAAUAACAUCAGGUUUCCUCUCUAUGUGUUGAAAAUCUUGAAGAUUUGCUUGUUUUACCUUCCUAUGCUAGUUGUUUCAUGUUCCCAUAAGUUGUUUGCUCACAAAAUCCCUAUGCAUAGGAAGUGGGUUACACUUAAACUUUCUAGUCAUAUUCUUCAUGAUGCUCCCUUUAUGUUUCAAUUCUUAUCUUUUAUGUGA